rnacentral:rRNA from 1 species
CCCGAAACCAGGUGAUCUACCCUUGGUCAGGUUGAAGUUCAGGUAACACUGAAUGGAGGACCGAACCGACUUACGUUGAAAAGUGAGCGGAUGAACUGAGGGUAGCGGAGAAAUUCCAAUCGAACCUGGAGAUAGCUGGUUCUCUCCGAAAUAGCUUUAGGGCUAGCCUCAAGUGAUGAUUAUUGGAGGUAGAGCACUGUUUGGACGAGGGGCCCCUCUCGGGUUACCGAAUUCAGACAAACUCCGAAUGCCAAUUAAUUUAACUUGGGAGUCAGAACAUGGGUGAUAAGGUCCGUGUUCGAAAGGGAAACAGCCCAGACCACCAGCUAAGGUCCCAAAAUAUAUGUUAAGUGGAAAAGGAUGUGGCGUUGCCCAGACAACUAGGAUGUUGGCUUAGAAGCAGCCAUCAUUUAAAGAGUGCGUAAUAGCUCACUAGUCGAGUGACACUGCGCCGAAAAUGUACCGGGGCUAAACAUAUUACCGAAGCUGUGGAUUGUCCUUUGGACAAUGGUAGGAGAGCGUUCUAAGGGCGUUGAAGCAUGAUCGUAAGGACAUGUGGAGCGCUUAGAAGUGAGAAUGCCGGUGUGAGUAGCGAAAGACGGGUGAGAAUCCCGUCCACCGAUUGACUAAGGUUUCCAGAGGAAGGCUCGUCCGCUCUGGGUUAGUCGGGUCCUAAGCUGAGGCCGACAGGCGUAGGCGAUGGAUAACAGGUUGAUAUUCCUGUACCACCUAUAAUCGUUUUAAUCGAUGGGGGGACGCAGUAGGAUAGGCGAAGCGUGCGAUUGGAUUGCA